AUUGAACGCUGGCGGCAGGCUUAACACAUGCAAGUCGAACGAGCGGCGGACGGGUGAGUAAUGUAUGGGAACCUGCCUGAUGGCGGGGGAUAACUACUGGAAACGGUAGCUAAUACCGCAUACCAUCAGAUGGGCCCAAAUGGGAUUAGCUAGUUGGUGGGGUAAUGGCUCACCUAGGCGACGAUCCCUAGCUGGUCUGAGAGGACGACCAGCCACACUGGAACUGAGACACGGCCCAGACUCCUACGGGAGGCAGCAGUGGGGAAUAUUGCACAAUGGGCGAAAGCCUGAUGCAGCCAUGCCGCGUGUAUGAAGAAGGCCUUCGGGUUGUAAAGCACUUUCAGCGAGGAAGCGGUACCUGCAGAAGAAGCACCGGCUAACUCCGUGCCAGCAGCCGCGGUAAUAC
rnacentral:rRNA from 1 species